GAAAAAAGGGGAAGAAAUGAGGAAAAAGAAGAGAUUUUCUCUUAUGUAUUCAUUUAACAAACUGACGGAUUACCGACGGGUUUUUUCCGUCGGUAUUUAAUAUACCCGUCGGAAAUCCGUCGGUUUUUUAAUAUUGGCGGUUCGCUGAAAUUUUGCGCGGUACAGCUUCACCCGGGUAAUUUUCUAAAUACCGACGACCAUUUUCGUCUGUUCUUCGUCGGUAUAGUUAAUUCCGUCGGUUAUUUGUCGGAAUAUUCCGACGAGAUACCGACGGAUUACGGUUUAGAGUUUACACAGGGUGUCGAAAUUAUUUAUAUUUGUUAUACGACUUUCUAAAACCGAUAUAUUAUGUUAUAUAAUCAUAAAACAUUCUCAAAAAAAUGUUAUAAAUUUAUUUGAGUGUUACAACUUCUGAGAACUGGCACAAGCCAACUUAAAAGUGUAUGAUGUUGUUCGAACGGUUAUGAUUGAAUGAUUAUAUAUAUGUCAUGUUCAAAGUUUUAAAAUUGUGAGAAUACAAUGGGUAGAUUUGUUGUCUGAUGUUAUAUGUGAUAUUUAAUACAACUGUAAAAAAAACAUACCUGUAAGAAACCGAAACUCUAAAUUGAUAAUGUCCGUCGGUAUUCCGUCGGUAUUUACCGACGCAUUUCCGACGAACCCCUCAAAUUCUAGGUGUUCGUCGGAAAUGCGUUGGUAAAUACCGACGGAAUACCGACGGACAUUAUCAAUUUAGAGUUUCAGUUUGAUUUUUGUUUUACAACCGUUAGAUUUUUAAAUCAACAAAUCUAAUUUAUUUUUUUAAUUUUAAAGUAUACAACGUUUCAAACCCAUAAUUUGUUUUUAGAAGAAAUCUACAAUGUUUGAAAGUAAUUUGCAUAUACAUUCAUAAAAGAGUAUCUACUCUGCAUCUGAGGAAUUAUCUGAUGAUGAACAUGAUGAAUCUGAAUCGUCUUCGUGAAACGGCUGUUCAAUCCGUCGGUAUUCCGUCGGAAUAUACCGACGGAAUUCUGACCGAAUUCCAAAAUUGUCGGUAUUUCGUCGGUAUGUGUCAAUUUUUUGCAACGGUCAUAUUUUUGUCAGUUUUUUGUCAGUUUUUUGUCGGGAUCGUAUGACCAAAUACCGACGAAAGUAUUCUGUCAGGAUUUUCCGACGCAGUUCCGACGAAUUUGCCGAAAUAGAUUUCCGACAAGUUUUCGUCGGAAUUCCGUUGGAAAAUCCUGACCGAUUUUUUUCGGUCGGUUUUUCCGUCGGUAUUGUCCGUGUUUUCUUGUAGUGUUAGUUUAAUUGGCAACUUAGGUUUAUAAAUCAGGUAAACUUUAAUUUUAUUUUAGCAAUAUUUUUUACUUUUAUUCAUUUUAGAUAAUAUAGUUUAUAUGACAUGGACUUACAUUUAAUGUUAAUUUAUAUUUUUGAUAAACAUUUAAAAAUAUGGUAAUAACUUGACAUUAUUCUGUUAAGAUUUCCCAUUUGAGAAACCCUUUUCAGUAUUACAUCUAAUGUCGAUUUAUAUUUUUGAAAUUUUUUUUUAGAAUAUGAUAAUAACUCAUAAAUCAUUAUUAAAAUAAAUGUAUUAAAAAUGGUAUUACAAAUUUCAAAAUAUCAUUUAAUAAUUUAUAUAUUUUUAAAUUAUACAAUUUUAUUACUAAAAUUUACAAAAAAAAAAGUAUACAAUUUUUUUUAAAGAAAAUUAUAAAAAUUUGAUCCGCGAGAGAUCAUUUGUAAAUUGUGUUGAAUUGGGCCAGGGCCCAUAGAAGUAAAUGAACAUAUAUUUAAAAGGCAAGAGUAACGAAACCUUGGGCAAGAAGAAAAGUGGAAACCUAAAUUGCCGCGUUCACAGGCUUACCGCGUUCGUCAAGGGCGUACUUUCUCAUCCUCCUCCUCCUCCGCUCCCAAUCCUAUCGAUGACAAAGGGAAGAGAUCGGUCAUCACCCCAGUCUGGGAGUCUGUUAAUCGUCUUGCCCCCUGGUUUGUUGGUGGAUAUGUGUUUAAAUUUGGUUUGGAAAUCUCGGCCUUAAUUAAAUCCAAGCUAAAGUCUGUUGAGUUGCACGAAGAAUAUUUGAGAGAGUUUGAACGUUAUCAUCAGGAAAAGGAGCAGAGCCGUAGCCUCCGUCCAUUCUCCUAGAAAUGUAAUGAAAUGUAUUAUAUCUAUUUGCAAUGCCAGUGAACUUAAUUGUCUAUGGUUGUGAUGUACUUGUUUUUUUUUUUUUUUUUUUUUUGGCGUUUAUAAACAUUGGCCUCUCAGACUUCUUUACGUAUCUUUGUUUCCCACUUGAACCGGGGUGGCUGCCUUGUUAUAUCUAUCAUGUGUAUUCAACUUUUACUCCAUUGAGAGUAAGCUAUCUAAAAUAAAUGAUGCUUAUUGUUAUGGUUGUUUCCGCGUGC